GGGCGUUUAGCGCAGUGGUAGCGCGUAUGCUUUGCAGGCCCUGCAAUAAAGCGCAGAUCCUUAAGUUGUAUAAGGUCCAGGGUUCAAUCCCCUGAACGUCCA